rnacentral:sRNA from 1 species
AAUUGGUAAAAAAACUUCAUAUACACUAGAUGAGUACCCGCAUUACAUGCGGGUUUAUGUAUUACUAUUUACAAAUUGUUUUAUAUAAUGCCUGUUCAUAUAAAGUAAAGUUGAAUGCAUCGGUUUUGAAAGAUAAAUAUGAUUUGUAAUUGUUUUUGAAAAGUCCAACUAUAUUAGUUCAUCUGAAAAACGAAUGUGUUUGAGUUAUUUUUUUAUUGUUGUUCUAGAUUCUCAGUUUUUUUUUUUAAGUUAGAUAUCCUUAUUUUUUUGGUUAUAUGUUUAGAUUGUGAGAAGGUGAAAUUUUAGAAAAUUUAUUUCUUACACUAAAAAUAGAACAUGUCUUUGUUAAUUAUGUGUCUGCAUAUUCAAUCUAAUCAUAUUCAACUUGAUGUUCUUGGAAAGUUUAGUUAAGUUCUUGUCAUAAUCUUAUAUCUUACGUAUUAGUUAUAAGGAUAGCUCCUCAAACAUCUUUCAAAUUACUUGUUUUCUUAGCAUAAAUCUCGAAAAGCUUAGAUAUAUUUAAUCUGCAUAUUCAUUUAGUUUCUUUCUUAAUAAUCGUCUAAUUUUUAGGCAAGGAAUAUGUGUAACAUGUUUGGAUUUUAUGAUCACUUUAGCCACUUAAGUGGAUCUCAAAAUUACAUAGGAUAUAUUGAAUUAAAAAAUGUAGAAAGAGUGAUGGUUCAAUUUCUGAUUAAUUAUAUCCUCCUAUUUUAGUUGUUAUGUUAAAUUAAUUACUAAUUAUGUAUUACUUAUUUUAUGAAGUCUAGGUGACAAUCUCUCAUGUGAUGAUGUGUCAAGUUGUGGGAGAGAGUUAGCCUCCUUUCAUAUAUAUGAUUUGCGAUUGAAGACACACACACAUAUAUAUCU